AACGUAGGAGGCGAGCGUUAUCCGGAUUUACUGGGCGUAAAGGGCGUCUAGGUGGUAAGGUAAGAUGGCUGUGAAAGCUCCUGGCUCAACUGGGAGAGGUCAGUCAAGACUGCCAUACUUGAGGGUCGGAGAGGGACGUGGAAUUCCCGGUGUAGCGGUGGAAUGCUUAGAGAUCGGGAGGAACACCAGUGGCGCAAGCGGCGUCCUGGCCGACAACUGACACUGAAGCGCGAAAGCGUGGGGAGCAAACAGG
rnacentral:rRNA from 1 species